rnacentral:sRNA from 16 species
CGCCAUGUUGCAUAAUCAGUAACUUAACGUCAAAGUUGUAAAUAAAAGAACCUGCCUCACCAGCAGGUUUUUUU